CCCAGAAGAUCUUACUUCAUCCUUUAAUUCUGACCUUGUGGGUAUCAACCCGCCUCAUGUGUGUUUCUUGAAGACAACAUAUGGUAGGGUUUUAGAUUCUAACCCAUUCUGCUAUUCAUCUACGUUUUAUGGCAUUCAGUUGCACUCCAGUAGAAGCAGAGAUGGUAGUGGAUCAUGGAAGAAACCAGAAAAGAUUCCCUAAGAAGAUGACUAACCAAAUAUUAAUAUCCAUUGGUCAGUGUGCCU
rnacentral:lncRNA from 1 species